GUCGAGAAUCUUUCACAAUGGGGGCAACCCUGAUGGAGCGACGCCGCGUGGAGGAUAAGGUCUUCGGAUUGUAAACUCCUGUCAUGCGUGAACAAGGUUGCUUGGUUAAUACCUGGGCAAAUUGAUGGUAACGCAAGAGGAAGAGACGGCUAACUCUGUGCCAGCAGCCGCGGUAAUACAGAGGUCUCAAGCGUUGUUCGGAAUCACUGGGCGUAAAGGGUGCGUAGGUGGCGUGGUAAGUCAGAUGUGAAAGCCCGGGGCUCAGCCGCGGAACUGCAUCCGAUACUGCAAUGCUAGAGUACUGGAGAGGUGACUAGAAUUCUCGGUGUAGCAGUGAAAUGCGUAGAUAUCGAGAGGAAUACCAAAGGCGUAGGCAGGUCACUGGACAGUUACGGAAACUGAGGCACGAAGGCCAGGGGAGCGAACGGGAUUAGAUUCCCGUGUAGUCC
rnacentral:rRNA from 1 species